CAUUGGGAGCCAUUUUGUUACUCAGAGAAGCCAAGUGAGGUGUCUGAGUUUAACGGAAACAAUUGGGAAGUAAUUGGGAUAAAAUGGAUGGUAAUGAAUUGCAUGUAAAGAGAAGAAAUCAAGAUGUAUCCAAGAUGCAAUAAAGUGCCAUAAAAAUCA